rnacentral:tRNA from 1 species
AAAGAAUUAGUUAAACUAAUAACAUAAAUUUGUCAAAUUUAAAUCAUAUAAAAAUAUAUUCUUUU